GUGGAUAUAGCUCAGUUGGUUAGAGCACCAGAUUGUGGCUCUGGGGGCCGUGGGUUCAAGUCCCAUUAUCCACCCCA
rnacentral:tRNA from 1 species